UUCUGAUGGUUUCAACAGUGAUUCAGAGUUGGUUCCUGAAGUGGGAUUGGCAUCAUCCAUCUUCUCUCCCAAAUUUGGAAUCCAGAAGCACCUGAAGCAAUAACAGAGUCCUUGAGGCUGAAGAGACUGGAAGAACCUGACAGUCUCCUUUUCUGUUCUUUUUUUUUUUUAAACCCUUACCUUCCAUCUUGGAAUCAAUACUGUGUAUUGGCUCCAAAGCAGAAGAGUGGUAAGGGCUAGGCAAUGGGGGUCAAGUGACUUGCCCAGGGUCACACAGUUCUUUUCUGUUCUUACCAACUUUGCCCUGGCCUCAUUCAGCUGUAGGACAUUGAUAGGAUUUCCAGUUACAUUUAUUCUGCCAUGUAUAUGGAGAUGCUCUCUUUUUUUGUUGUGUAAAUUCAGAAUAAAGAAAGAAAAUGUAAAAAAACCCUCAAAGGCUAUGAAGAUCACAAUAUGUGGUCAUAAUGAAAAGCAUAUUUUUAAUCUAUUGUGUGAACAUGUAUAUUAAAAAUAAAUAUUUGCAAAA